ACAUAGACUAUAAGAUAUUAUAUAGAUGCAUUAUUUCGAAUAAUUUCGAUAAAACAAUUAAAGGCUGUCUCCAAUUAAUGACUCAAUAGCGCAAUAUGACUUAAUGAUUUUCAACGUAUGAGCGAAAAGUGGAAAGAUCCAACAAGCCGACGGAAAGAAACCAAAAAAGCACAUGUACAUUUAGAGAAAUGUCAGCAAAACUAUAUUUCAUUGGGGAUUUAUUCCUGCUAUAUUAUUUUUAGGAUUUAGAAAAGGUGCUGACCCAGGCAUGCCUCCAUUAUCAAUUAUAAACUUGUUAUGGCAAUAAAAAAUAGCUACUUUGACAUUACUUUGUUUUAUAUUUCAUGAAGAUAUUUCCACAGCUGAACCAACCAUAUUUCUUUAUUUCCAUUAAAUUCAAUGUAAAUUUAUCUUUGUAGUUAUGACUAAAAUUAUUAACAAGAGAAUGUCAUCUUUAUGUUGAGUUAAGGAAAAUAAAAAUUUUCUAGUAAAAAUUUGGA